rnacentral:rRNA from 1 species
CCUACGGUAGGCAGCAGUCGAGAAUCAUUCACAAUGGGGGAAACCCUGAUGGUGCGACGCCGCGUGGGGGAAUGAAGGUCUUCGGAUUGUAAGCCCCUGUCAUGUGGGAGCAAAUUAAAAAGAUAGUACCACAAGAGGAAGAGACGGCUAACUGUGUGCCAGAAGACCCGGAAAUACAGAGGUCUCAAGGGUUGUUCGGAAUCACUGGGCGUAAGCGUGCGGAGGCUGGUUCGUAAGUCGUUUGUGAAAGGCGCGGGCUCAACCCGCGGACGGCACAUGUUACUGCGAGACUAGAGUAAUGGAGGGGGAACCGGAAUUCUCGGUGUAGCAGUGAAAUGCGUAGAUAUCGAGAGGAACACUCGUGGCGAAGGCGGGUUCCUGGACAUUAACUGACGCUGAGGCACGAAGGCCAGGGGAGCGAAAGGGAUUAGAUACCCGGGUAGUC